rnacentral:rRNA from 1 species
CCUACGGGGUGCAGCAGUAGGGAAUUUUCGUCAAUGGGCGCAAGCCUGAACGAGCGAUGCCGCGUGAGUGAAGAAGGCCUUCGGGUCGUAAAGCUCUGUUGCGGGGGAAAAAAGGCAGCAUCAGGAAAUGGGUGCUGACUGAUGGUGCCCCGCCAGAAAGUCACGGCUAACUACGUGCCAGCAGCCGCGGUAAUACGUAGGUGGCGAGCGUUAUCCGGAAGGAUUGGGCGUAAAGGGUGCGCAGGCGGUCCUGCAAGUCUGGAGUGAAACGCAUGAGCUCAACUCAUGCAUGGCUUUGGAAACUGGAGGACGGGAGAGCAGGAGAGGGCGGUGGAACUCCAUGUGUAGCGGUAAAAUGCGUAGAUAUAUGGAAGAACACCAGUGGCGAAGGCGGCCGCCUGGCCUGUUGCUGACGCUGAGGCACGAAAGCGUGGGGAGCAAAUAGGAUUAGAUACCCCUGUAGUC